GACGAACGCUGGCGGCGUGCUUAACACAUGCAAGUCGAACGAUGAAGCUAGAGCUUGCUCUGGUGAAUUAGUGGCGAACGGGUGAGUAACACGUGAGUAACCUGCCCCGAACUCUGGGAUAACUGCUGGAAACGGUAGCUAAUACUGGAUACGACCUACGAAGGCAUCUUCUGUAGGUGGAAAGAAUUUCGGUUUGGGAUGGACUCGCGGCCUAUCAGCUUGUUGGUGAGGUAAUGGCUCACCAAGGCGACGACGGGUAGCCGGCCUGAGAGGGUGACCGGCCACACUGGGACUGAGACACGGCCCAGACUCCUACGGGAGGCAGCAGUGGGGAAUAUUGCACAAUGGGCGCAAGCCUGAUGCAGCAACGCCGCGUGAGGGAUGACGGCCUUCGGGUUGUAAACCUCUUUUAGUAGGGAAGAAGCGAAAGUGACGGUACCUGCGGAAAAAGCACCGGCUAACUACGUGCCAGCCGCCGCCGUAA
rnacentral:rRNA from 1 species